rnacentral:rRNA from 1 species
GAUGAACGCUGGCGGCGUGCCUAAUACAUGCAAGUCGAGCGAACGGACGAGAAGCUUGCUUCUCUGAUGUUAGCGGCGGACGGGUGAGUAACACGUGGAUAACCUACCUAUAAGACUGGGAUAACUUCGGGAAACCGUAGCUAAUACCGGAUAAUAUUUUGAACCGCAUGGUUCAAAAGUGAAAGACGGUCUUGCUGUCACUUAUAGAUGGAUCCGCGCUGCAUUAGCUAGUUGGUAAGGUAACGGCUUACCAAGGCAACGAUGCAUAGCCGACCUGAGAGGGUGAUCGGCCACACUGGAACUGAGACACGGUCCAGACUCCUACGGGAGGCAGCAGUAGGGAAUCUUCCGCAAUGGGCGAAAGCCUGACGGAGCAACGCCGCGUGAGUGAUGAAGGUCUUCGGAUCGUAAAACUCUGUUAUUAGGGAAGAACAUAUGUGUAAGUAACUGUGCACAUCUUGACGGUACCUAAUCAGAAAGCCACGGCUAACUAGGUG